rnacentral:rRNA from 1 species
GACGAACCGUGCAAACGUUAUUCGGAAUCACUGGGCUUAAAGGGCGCGUAGGCGGGUUCUCAAGUCAGGGGUGAAAUCCCGCGGCUCAACCGUGGAAGUGCCUUUGAUACUGGGAAUCUCGAGGGAGGUAGGGGCGUGCGGAACUUCCGGUGGAGCGGUGAAAUGCGCAGAUAUCAGGAGGAACACCGAUGGCGAAGGCAGGUCUCUGGGCCACUACUGACGCUGAGAAGCGAAAGCAUGGGGAGCGAACAGG